rnacentral:ncRNA from 2 species
ACUUAGCUGUAUGACUGACGCUUUUGGAGGAGAACACCUCCGGGGAGUACAGCAAUUAUAAGAAGCCGUGCGUCUGGGCUGUUUCA